CCUACGGGCGGCUGCAGUGGGGAAUAUUGCACAAUGGGCGCAAGCCUGAUGCAGCCAUGCCGCGUGUGUGAAGAAGGCCUUCGGGUUGUAAAGCACUUUCAGCGGGGAAGAAGGCGGUGAGGUUAAUAACCUCAUCGAUUGACGUUACCCGCAGAAGAAGCACCGGCUAACUCCGUGCCAGCAGCCGCGGUAAUACGGAGGGUGCAAGCGUUAAUCGGAAUUACUGGGCGUAAAGCGCACGCAGGCGGUCUGUCAAGUCGGAUGUGAAAUCCCCGGGCUCAACCUGGGAACUGCAUUCGAAACUGGCAGGCUAGAGUCUUGUAGAGGGGGGUAGAAUUCCAGGUGUAGCGGUGAAAUGCGUAGAGAUCUGGAGGAAUACCGGUGGCGAAGGCGGCCCCCUGGACAAAGACUGACGCUCAGGUGCGAAAGCGUGGGGAGCAAACAGGAUUAGAUACCCGUGUAGUC
rnacentral:rRNA from 1 species